ACUUAAAUUGAAGAGUUUGAUCAUGGCUCAGAUUGAACGCUGGCGGCAGGCCUAACACAUGCAAGUCGAACGGUAACAGGAAGCAGCUUGCUGCUUCGCUGACGAGUGGCGGACGGGUGAGUAAUGUCUGGGAAACUGCCCGGUGGAGGGG
rnacentral:rRNA from 1 species